rnacentral:sRNA from 1 species
AAUAUUUAACAUGUGUUAUAUCAAUCUAAACCCGUCUCGCUAUAUUUCAUAUCAAUCCAAACCCGUCUCGCUAAAUUUUUCAUCUCAUGAUAUUUUAAUUUUUAAUAAGUUUAAAUAUUAAUAAUGUUUUAUAAAGUUAAAAUAU